CACGUAGGGGGCGAGCGUUGUUCGGAAUCAUUGGGCGUAAAGGGCGUGCAGGCGGUCCUGCAAGUCCGGCGUGAAAUACCCCGGCCCAACCGGGGGGACGCGCUGGGAACUGCAGGGCUUGAGUACAGGAGGGGAUGCCGGAAUUCCAGGUGUAGGGGUGAAAUCUGUAGAUAUCUGGAAGAACACCAAUGGCGAAGGCAGGCAUCUGGCCAUGUACUGACGCUGAGACGCGAAGGUGCGGGGAGCAAACAGGUUUAGAUACCCUGGUAGUCCGCACAGUAAACGAUGUGCACCAGGUGGCGGGGGGUCGACCCCCGGUACCGUAGCUAACGCAUUAAGUGCACCGCCUGGGGAGUACGGCCGCAAGGUUAAA
rnacentral:rRNA from 1 species